rnacentral:rRNA from 1 species
GAUGAACGCUGGCGGCGUGCCUAAUACAUGCAGGUCGAGCGAACAGACGAGGAGCUUGCUCCUCUGACGUUAGCGGCGGACGGGUGAGUAACACGUGGAUAACCUACCUAUAAGACUGGGAUAACUUCAGGAAACCGGAGCUAAUACCGGAUAAUAUAUUGAACCGCAUGGUUCAAUAGUGAAAGACGGUUUUGCUGUCACUUAUAGAUGGAUCCGCGCCGCAUUAGCUAGUUGGUAAGGUAACGGCUUACCAAGGCAACGAUGCGUAGCCGACCUGAGAGGGUGAUCGGCCACACUGGAACUGAGACACGGUCCAGACUCCUACGGGAGGCAGCAGUAGGGAAUCUUCCGCAAUGGGCGAAAGCCUGACGGAGCAACGCCGCGUGAGUGAUGAAGGUCUUCGGAUCGUAAAACUCUGUUAUUAGGGAAGAACAAAUGUGUAAGUAACUAUGCACGUCUUGACGGUACCUAAUCAGAAAGCCACGGCUAACUACGUG